GUUUCUGUGCCUAGCGGGAAAGCCGUUUUGCGAAUCUCUGUUGUGAUUGUGCUGUUGUGGGCAUUUUGAAAAGGGCAUAUGGUCUUCUCCCAGGGAUCGCUCUGAGCUGCAUGUGUAAUGCGGCCGCAUAGCCUUCCUGUCGUUAUCGGUGGCAAUAUUUGAAUGGCUCUUCGUCGGCCUCUUCUGACUGUGCUUAGUGUUGCUGGUGUAGCUGGUGCGGGCAACGGGAUCACCGCCACCUCCCAAGGCGUGACCUGGGGCGAUGGUAAAAGGCCAAAAGAAACGGGCUGUGGACCGAACUCGCUGCAAGAAAAAUGCAUCUGCCUCAUCUCACUCUGGGGAUUCCAGCACUGUGUUGAAGGAGAACCAUGGCAAAGCGACAGGAAAUGAUGGCACCAGAACGACACCACCGGUCACAAGGAGCACUCGGAUAGACGACUAUUUCCCUGUGCUUGGCGCCGAAAUGGCAACUGCCGAGGAAGUAGCCAGCGAGCACAGUUACUCGCGACGACGUCCCGCCAAGAGGGAGCCUCCGUGCCCGUUGCAGCAGCUAGUAGAACCCGAGGUUCAAAUCCCAUGCCCAGACGCUGCAGCACUUCCUGCUGGCCUGAGUCUCACAGCCACGCAGCCGCCUUCUAUGGACGCACAAAAGCCUGAUGCUGAUCCCAGGGGCCACCACAACAGGAGCAAAAGUGCUUCCAGAGCUGCAAACAGGCCUGCCGUUAAGGUCACUGUGAAGGCUGCUGUGGCAGCGACGGAGCAAGACCCCUCAAAGGCAGUAAAAAGGAAAACGGACGUGCAGUGCCACUCCUUGACCGAGUACUUUUCCAUCCGAAGGAGUGGACGCAAGACAAAGACUACACUUGCAAAAGAGAGGCAGAAGCAGGUUGAAGAUGCCAUCCUGAAUGGCAUCGAAGAAGGCUUUCAGAUCACAGAGUUUGCUGACAAAGGCCGGGGAGUGACCACAUCUCGUCCACUUAAAGCCGGCGACUUUGUGCUCGAGUAUGCUGGUGAACUCAUUGAUGUGCAAGAGGCAAAGCUGCGUGAACAGAUAUAUGCCACUGACACAUCCAUUGGGUGCUACAUGUACUACUUCACCUGCAGGAACAAACAGUAUUGUGUCGAUGCCACUAAGGAAACGGGCCGGCUUGGGCGGCUAGUGAACCACAGCAAGCGGGGCAACCUGAAAACGCAGACGUGCAUCAUCAAGGGCGUGCCUCAUUUGGUGCUCGUGGCCCAUCGCAACAUUGAAGCUGGAGAGGAACUGCUGUAUGACUAUGGAGACCGCAGCAAGGCAUCACUCCAGUUUCACCCCUGGUUGGCAUUGUAGCCAGCUUUCCAGAGUGGCAGCUUUCAUCAAGAGUUGGCAGAGUAAUGAUCCGGGAUCUGGCCUGACAUCUCUUGCAUGGCUCCACACUAUCUCUCUUCGAAGUACAGGGAGACGCUACCAACUUGUUCUGCAGAGGUCUUAUGGCGACAUGUAGAUGUCGACAUGUUGCACUGACAAAUUGAAUGUGACAUUUUGGAGAUGCUGCCACAGCUGCUGCAGUGGCGUUGGAUGCACUGAACAAUGCCACACUGAUCACAACUCUCUCACAUGUGAUGUAAUACUACCCACUGAAUGCUUCUAUCUGUUUUCAGAUGGCACAACACUUUUAAGGUCCACUUUGGCUUAAAGCCAAGUUACAAUUUGAGGCCAUGUUGUUUUCCAGGGUGCUAUGCAUUGUGCCUGAAUGCUGGAAUAUUCCUGUACUACAUGACUAUUUAGCUGGUCACAUGACAGUUGCUUUCUUCUCAUUUUAUGCAAACCAUUGUCACCAUGUGAUGCAAAACCAUAUGAGAAUGAAUUGAUUGAUAACAACAGUUAUACACAGGUAUCAAAAAUUGUCUGGACAAAAUGCCAUUUAACAAGUGCAAGAUGUGAUGUAGGAGCGUAUUAUAAAUGUUGAGGUCAAUCUUGCGAAUGCAACCCAUAAUAAAUGAACUUCUGAAAUGCUAUUACAUGUUCAGCAAAUUGGUCUUGCGUUUCAGAAGUAAAGUAAUAGACAGACAAAAGUUUGUUACUAUGUAUUGGACCCCUCUGUUUUUUGUUUUUCCCCCACUGCACAAAAAUGUUCAAGAAAUUUUGCUAGCUGUCCAACCAUUUGUGUGGGAUCAAAAAUAGGCUUAUAGUGACAUGUGUAGCAUAUGUCUCAUUUCAUCCACUCUUUGGUCUGUAGCCGUUUCUGUUGCACAGUUUUUCAGAGUGAACCUGUAAAAACUAUCUUAUUUGCCCCCCCUUCUGGAAGCUGCUUGCCGAUUCUUGAUUGUAAUUAGGCACAGUGAUGCCGCAAGUGGCGAGUGCACUGUUGCAUGCAGCAGAGAUACUGUACACUCAUUUUGCCCGCGGUCACGAAGGCAGCAUUCAGGCUAUUGGCUUCCCAAGGUGCAUGGCUUGCAAAAUGCAUUGACAUUGCUGCAUCCUUCAUAAUAGUGUUUUAUACAGUAGUAAUAAAAUGGCAAAUCUAUUUUGUCUCCAGAGGACAUGGUGUAGUGAUGUGCGUAUUCAGCAAAAAAAAUUUCAACUGUAGCUGCAGUUCACUGAUGGCAGCUUAUAGUUUGAGUCAAUUGUGAUAUCAAGUGAUAGUCAAUGUAUCUGAAUGCUAAAGUAGCACAGACAAGAUGACAACACACUGGCACGACACCAAAAUUUGACUUAUCUCCAACAAGAGACUGUUGUUGCAUGUGAGUGCCGUGGGGCUGUGUGUUUGCAUGCUCUUCUCGCGUCUUGUUUGCACUACACUUCUAUUCCAAGUUGAAAUACCAAGAAGCCCACAUUGCAACGACUAGUGGGUGUACGUUUCAGCCAGAUGCAUUUUGGUGAACCUAAAUUCGUUGCUGCCACGAGCAUUGUAACUAAUGCAAGCAAGCAUAAAACUUGUGUUCUUGUACCAUCAUGUGCCAGAAUGAAAACACAAAUCGCCUUUUGGCUUCUGUGUUGCACCCGUGUGCUUUAUUUAGAUUAUACUUGAGUGGUUCAUGCAAACACCUUACCAAAAAAAAAAAAAACACAGAAAAAGGACAACAUUGGGGAGUGAAUGUUUCUAGAUUUUUGUUUCAGCAUGCACUAUAGUGAUCAUGACCAAGUCUGCAAGGAACUGUCAGUUUUGUGUGUUGAUAAACAUAUGCAUUUUAUUAGUCCAGGAAGAAGAGUGCACUAUGCCAGUACUGCUAUGCAUUAUCGGCAAGUUCUGUGCAGCGGGCACAAUCACUGCCACUAGAAUGUUAGGCUGUUCUUCAGUUUUGUUGUUGCUAAGAUAUUAGUUAAACCAAACGAGUUUGUUACUCUUGUGGUGCAUGGGCACCCGCAUGUGAACUUGUUCCUUUACCAAACUAUACACUUGCAUGUUUCUGUGUCCAAAUAUUAUAUUAUAUUGUUUUUCUUCACACUUUACCAUUCAUUCUUAUGCACCUGCCUUUGCAGUCUCCAACAUUGCAUUUCUCAGAGCCUGCGUGUUGAUUCAGAAUCCUGUUCAUUCAUUUCCUAGAGUUAGAAACUUGCGUUCGGUGCGACUCGAGAGCGGGAGCAGCAGUACAGUGCGUACUUUGUAAGUUCCCAACUUGAACAAACUUUGCCAGAGGUUUAGCCUAGAUAAUGAAAGGUGGAAUGUAUUUUGUACGUAAUGUAUGCCCAACUAACAUUUGACAAAGGUCAUGGCUCUGCUCUGUGAAUACUAUACCAUGUACAGCUCAUCUCAAGUUCCAUUUGUCUGGUUCUCACAGUGCAAGUGAACUACCCAUUAACAGGUGAAGAACUACAUUUACGACACUUGAUUAUUUACAGUUUGGGUGUACGCCGCAAGUGUGAACAACCACGGAUGCUUGUUUAUCACACUUGCACAACAUGUAAAACAGACAUCAUCUUACCAUGUCUUCAAUGGCCACUUUGUUAUUGUGCUCCACUGUAUAAGUUAUUCUUCAACUUCAUUGUUCUUCAUUACCUUUACCACAGCAUACAAUAAAUGUCAUAAUCUAUUCCA
rnacentral:misc_RNA from 1 species